CAAAGCCUCUGGUUGCUAAGCAGCUGUGUAGAGAGUAACCAACCUCGCUUGGUUGCCACCAUUCUGAGACGGAGCACUCAAGAGAUGUGGCCCUUCUUUCCACUUAUGUCAUAAUCGUAAAAUGGUUAUUUAUUGUCAAGCUUUCAAGUAGUCUUCCGAAUGCUCUCAUAACACCUACAAGCUAUUCAGGAAUCACCAGGAUUCCGCAGGACCCAUUUAAGAGGCACUUCCAGAGACACUCCAAUGAUGUUGACAUAGCAGAUUUGUUAGUCUCAUUUUAUGAAACAUCAUCAGUUACUUGAGACGCAAGGGGCAGAAAUACUCAACCAAAGUCACAGGACUUAUUAGUGACAGAGUUUGGACUGGCUCUGAAUCCCAGGUCUGGACCUUUCUUACGAUGUCUUUGCAGACUGAACACAAGGAGGUUCAACCGUCCGUAUCAAAUAUGGCGGAACUGACUUAAUUGUUAAAGAUCAACCUUAUGUUAUUAAAAGUGCUUUCUUAAUUAUACUCUU